GGGGAUCUAGCCCAGUGGUAGAGCGCACACUCUUCCCAUGUGUGAGGUCCUGGGUUCAAUCCCAGCAUCUCCA
rnacentral:tRNA from 2 species